UACAGAGGUCCCAAGCGUUGUUCGGAUUCACUGGGCGUAAAGGGUGCGUAGGCGGUCGGGUAAGUCUGACGUGAAAUCUCCAAGCCUAACUUGGAAACUGCGUUGGAUACUAUCCGGCUCGAGGAAUGGAGGGGAGACUGGAAUACUUGGUGUAGCAGUGAAAUGCGUAGAUAUCAAGUGGAACACCAGUGGCGAAGGCGGUUCUCUGGGCCUUACCUGACGCUGAGGAGCGAAAGCGUGGGGAGCGAACAGG
rnacentral:rRNA from 1 species